AGAGUUUGAUCCUGCCUCAGGAUGAACGCUAGCGGCAGGCCUAAUACAUGCAAGUCGAACGAGAUUAUCCAGCUUGCUGGAUAUGAAAGUGGCGCACGGGUGCGUAACGCGUAUGCAACCUACCUUAAUCAGGGGGAUAGCCCGAAGAAAUUCGGAUUAAGACCGCAUAAAAACACAGAAUAGCAUUAUUCAAUGUUCAAAUAUUUAUAGGAUUAAGAUGGGCAUGCGUGUCAUUAGCUAGUUGGCGGGGUAACGGCCCACCAAGGCGACGAUGACUAGGGGAUCUGAGAGGAUGACCCCCCACACUGGUACUGAGACACGGACCAGACUCCUACGGGAGGCAGCAGUAAGGAAUAUUGGUCAAUGGAGGGAACUCUGAACCAGCCAUGCCGCGUGCAGGAUGACGGCCCUCUGGGUUGUAAACUGCUUUUAUUCGGGAAUAAACCUUAUUACGUGUAAUAAGCUGAAUGUACCGAAGGAAUAAGGAUCGGCUAACUCCGUGCCAGCAGCCGCGGUAAUACGGAGGAUCCAAGCGUUAUCCGGAUUUAUUGGGUUUAAAGGGUGCGUAGGCGGCUUAUUAAGUCAGGGGUGAAAGACGGUGGCUCAACCAUCGCAGUGCCCUUGAUACUGAUGAGCUUGAAUACACUAGAGGUAGGCGGAAUGUGACAAGUAGCGGUGAAAUGCAUAGAUAUGUCACAGAACACCGAUUGCGAAGGCAGCUUACUAUGGUGCAAUUGACGCUGAGGCACGAAAGCGUGGGGAUCAAACAGGAUUAGAUACCCUGGUAGUCCACGCCCUAAACGAUGAAUACUCGCUGUUAGCGAUAUACAGUUAGCGGCUAAGCGAAAGCGUUAAGUAUUCCACCUGGGGAGUACGCCCGCAAGGGUGAAACUCAAAGGAAUUGACGGGGGCCCGCACAAGCGGAGGAGCAUGUGGUUUAAUUCGAUGAUACGCGAGGAACCUUACCCGGGCUUGAAAGUUAGUGAAUGAUCUAGAGAUAGAUCAGUGAGCAAUCACACGAAACUAGGUGCUGCAUGGCUGUCGUCAGCUCGUGCCGUGAGGUGUUGGGUUAAGUCCCGCAACGAGCGCAACCCCUAUGUUUAGUUGCCAGCAUGUAAAGGUGGGGACUCUAAACAGACUGCCUGUGCAAACAGAGAGGAAGGAGGGGACGACGUCAAGUCAUCAUGGCCCUUACGUCCGGGGCUACACACGUGCUACAAUGGAUGGUACAGAGGGCAGCGAGCUGGCAACAGUAAGCCAAUCUCAAAAAGCCAUUCACAGUUCGGAUAGAGGUCUGCAACUCGACCUCUUGAAGUUGGAUUCGCUAGUAAUCGCGUAUCAGCAAUGACGCGGUGAAUACGUUCCCGGGCCUUGUACACACCGCCCGUCAAGCCAUGGAAGUUGGGGGUACCUAAAGUAUGUAACCGCAAGGAGCGUCCUAGGGUAAAACCGAUAACUGGGGCUAAGUCGUAACAAGGUAACC
rnacentral:rRNA from 1 species